rnacentral:misc_RNA from 1 species
GAAAUCAAAACAAAUAGAUAUAAUAAUAUUAAAAUUAUAAUUUUUAAAAGACAAUAUCAUAUUUGGAGACUAAUAUGGCAAACACAAUAUCCAUAAUGUCUAAUGCGUUACGAAAUGUUGUGAGCAAAAAACGCAUACGAUACAAGGAAAAAGGAUUUAAUUUGGAUCUUUCAUACAUUUGCCCGAAAAUAAUUGCGAUGGGAUAUCCUGCUCCGGACAUUAUUGAAGGCAUUUACAGAAAUCGCCUAGAGGAUGUUUAUAAAUUUAUGGAAGAAAAUCAUGGAGGGCAUUACAGAAUAUACAAUCUGUGUCAAGAACGGAGUUAUGACAUUAAUAAAUUUCAUGGGAAUGUUGCAACAUACCCGUUUGAGGAUCACAAUCCUCCUCCUAUUGUACUGAUGCAACGUUUUUGCCAAGACGUUGAAUCCUGGCUUAAUAGAGAUCCGUUAAAUGUCGUAGCUGUGCAUUGUAAAGCUGGAAAGGGAAGAACCGGUACUAUGAUAUGUGCAUACUUGGUUCAUAGUAAGUUCUUGAAUACAGCAGAUGAAGCUUUGGCUUUUUAUGAUGAAAAACGUACAAUAGAUCGGAAAGGUGUUACAAUUCCAUCUCAACGUAGAUAUGUUCAGUAUUAUUCAAAUUUAAUCCCAGAUAUACAUUAUGAAGUAGUCAGUCUUUACAUUUCUGAAAUCCGAUUUGCUGAGGCAAAUUACCUGCAUAAUCUUGGUACAGUGCAAUGUUCAAUUUCCGACAGGCAAGAGUCUGCAUCAGAGAAACUUAAGGCGCAUGAACUGAAAACAUGGCCAAUUGAUUUCCAAAAAACUUCAAUAUUGGACUUAACUAGUUCGCCUUUGAUGGUUUCUGGUGAUAUCAAAGUCGAACUUACUCAAAAGUCAUCAAGAAAGAUGAUUUGCAGUUUUUGGGUUAAUACAUUCUUUAUGCAAAAUGAUGCGGCUCGCAUUCUUGAUGGAAAUACCGUAAAGUUUAUGCAUACCUUAAAUAAAUCCGAGAUUGAUGGUGCACAUAAAGACAAAGACCAUAAAUCGUUUUCGGAGGACUUUAAGAUCUCUCUCGUAUUUAUAAAUGAAGAAAAACGCUCUGACAGUAUAAUCGCUGAAUCCUCAAUAGAUAACAGUAGGAGCAAUAAUCAAAGCUCAGAAAAUCUUCCUGGUGAUAAUAAUACGAAUCUAAGCAGUGAGGGUUCAGUUUUAAACUCUCCGUCCUCAAGUCGUUUGUUUGAAGGUCCAUUUCAUACCAGUGAUGAAAGAAGUGAGGGGCAAUCUCACCUAACAGCACAGAGCAGAAAACUAACUAAAAAUCAACAUAAAAAAUCAACUAUCUCAAAAUAUCCUGCAAUGGCAUCUAAACGCAAACAAUCCUCUUCAAAAUGCCUACUAGGUGCUAAUAAUACCUCGUCAGGCAAGGACAACAAAAAACAGCAUAUUUUUAAUCAACCGUCCCGUAAACAAAUCGAAAUGGUGCCUAAUAAUUGGCCCAGUAACAUCUAUGGAAAAGCCUCAGAGGGUCUACAUAUAUUUGAUCGAUGUAAUAUUUCCAAUAUUUCUGGCGGAGAACAGAAUUCACACAAUACUUACAAACGAUCAUCUUCUGAUUCAAAUCAAAGUGGUGAAGAAGGAGACGAGGAUUGGGAAUCCGGAUCUUAAUUUUCAUAGCUAUGGAGGUAGCUACGUCCGGCACUACGUAAGGAGUCAUAUACCAAAGUGUUCUACUGUAAGAACUGAAACGUCAGAUUCAUCAGUAUAUGUGAUAUUUAUCCGGAGUGAUAUCUACAUCAACCAUGACAAGAGGUGAUAACUCACCACUCCACACUUUUUGGCUGCCAUUAUGUUAUUUAUUUAUU